rnacentral:rRNA from 1 species
AGAGUUUCAUUCUGGCUCAGGAUGAACGCUAGCGACAGGCUUAACACAUGCAAGUCGAGGGGCAGCGGGGGCGUAGCAAUAUGCCUGCCGGCGACCGGCGCACGGGUGAGUAACACGUAUGUAACCUGCCCUAUGCAGGGGGAUAACCCGGAGAAAUCCGGCCUAAUACCGCGUAACACCUUUGGGGAGCAUUCCCUUGGGGUUAAAGGAGAGAUCCGGCAUAGGAUGGACAUGCGUCGCAUUAGGUAGACGGCGGGGUAACGGCCCACCGUGCCGACGAUGCGUAGGGGUUCUGAGAGGAAGGCCCCCCACACUGGUACUGAGACACGGACCAGACUCCUACGGGAGGCAGCAGUGAGGAAUAUUGGUCAAUGGCCGAGAGGCUGAACCAGCCAAGUCGCGUGAGGGAAGAAUGUCCUAAGGAUUGUAAACCUCUUUUGUCGGGGAGCAAAAAGGCUCUGCGGAGUCGUAUUGAGAGUACCCGAAGAAAAAGCAUCGGCUAACUCCGUGCCAGCAGCCGCGGUAAUACGGAGGAUGCGAGCGUUAUCCGGAUUUAUUGGGUUUAAAGGGUGCGCAGGCGGCGUGUCAAGCAAGCGGUAAAAUAGCGGGGCUCAACCCCGUCGAGCCGUUUGAACUGGCGCGCUUGAGUUCAGGCGAGGUAGGCGGAAUUCGUGGUGUAGCGGUGAAAUGCAUAGAUAUCACGAAGAACUCCAAUUGCGAAGGCAGCUUACCAGUCUGCGACUGACGCUCAGGCACGAAAGUGUGAGUAUCGAACAGGAUUAGAUACCCUGGUAGUCCACACAGUAAACGAUGAGCGCUAGGUGUCCGGGUCGAAUGAGGCUUGGGUGCCCGAGCGAAAGCGUUAAGCGCUCCACCUGGGGAGUACGCCGGCAACGGUGAAACUCAAAGGAAUUGACGGGGGCCCGCACAAGCGGAGGAACAUGUGGUUUAAUUCGAUGAUACGCGAGGAACCUUACCCGGGCUCAAACGACUCAGGAAUAUAUUGGAAACGAUGUAGCCAGCAAUGGUCUGAGUCGAGGUGCUGCAUGGUUGUCGUCAGCUCGUGCCGUGAGGUGUCGGCUUAAGUGCCAUAACGAGCGCAACCCCUACCGCCAGUUGCCAACGGGUAAAGCCGGGAACUCUGGCGGGACUGCCGGCGCAAGCUGCGAGGAAGGCGGGGAUGACGUCAAAUCAGCACGGCCCUUACGUCCGGGGCGACACACGUGUUACAAUGGCAGGUACAGCGGGAAGCCACCUGGUGACAGGGAGCGGAACCCGAAAGCCUGUCUCAGUUCGGAUUGGAGUCUGCAACUCGACUCCAUGAAGCUGGAUUCGCUAGUAAUCGCGCAUCAGCCAUGGCGCGGUGAAUACGUACCCGGGCCUUGCACACACCGCCCGUCA